UAUGCAUUUGAUCACUGCAUAGGCCCAUAAAAUAUGCACACACUAAAAUUCAAAUCUACAAUUACUAGUUUCUUCCUUGUCAUUGUACUACCAUAUUACAAACAUAUGUGACUCAUUACAAAACUUUCACAUGGGAGCAGUAUUGUUCAGUGGAAACCAACCACCUCACAUUUCAAGACAUGGGAUUGGAUGGUGACUCAGUGCCAUCGUGUCCACAUAUAAAUCCCAAAUUAUCAUAAAUAUAUUCUAACAGAUACAUGAGAUGCUGUCCUCUGACCUCCCCUGAGAAAUAUGUACAAUGCCUUCCAAAACGCCACAUUACUAGGGAAAUCAACUUGUUUCUCCAGGAUAUGGGGAACUAAAUAGUAAAAGUCCAGAUAGAAAAAAUAAAUAAAUAAACAACUCUCAAUCUCAUUGCCAAACAAAUCUUUCCUACUGAAUCCUAUGAGAAUUCCAAAUGUUCAAGCAGUUCUCUGAGCUCAGUUAUUUCACAAAAAUAUCAAAGAUAAGGAAAGCAUUUUUUCAAGAAACUGUCUUGAUUUUGCCUAAUGGGAUCCUUCAGAAUGGUUCUGCUAGGAAUCAAUGCCAACAGAAUCUCAAUUCUGUCUUCCAAAUAUGACAACAGUCUGGGCAAUUCAACAACAAACUGUGUACUUAAAUCUAUUCUUGGGUUUGACUAGAAGCAAGGGGCAUAUCCAGAUUACUGUGGAAACAAUUAUCUUACUGUGUUUUACUAUUUU
rnacentral:lncRNA from 1 species